rnacentral:rRNA from 1 species
AUUGAACGCUGGCGGCAGGCCUAACACAUGCAAGUCGAGCGGAUGACGGGAGCUUGCUCCUUGAUUCAGCGGCGGACGGGUGAGUAAUGCCUAGGAAUCUGCCUGGUAGUGGGGGACAACGUUUCGAAAGGAACGCUAAUACCGCAUACGUCCUACGGGAGAAAGCAGGGGACCUUCGGGCCUUGCGCUAUCAGAUGAGCCUAGGUCGGAUUAGCUAGUUGGUGGGGUAAUGGCUCACCAAGGCGACGAUUCGUAACUGGUCUGAGAGGAUGAUCAGUCACACUGGAACUGAGACACGGUCCAGACACCUGCGGGAGGCAGCAGUGGGGAAUAUUGGACAAUGGGCGAAAGCCUGAUCCAGCCAUGCCGCGUGUGUGAAGAAGGUCUUCGGAUUGUAAAGCACUUUAAGUUGGGAGGAAGGGCAGUAAGCUAAUACCUUGCUGUUUUGACGUUACCGACAGAAUAAGCACCGGCUAACUCUGUGCCAGCAGCCGCAGUAAGAC